rnacentral:rRNA from 1 species
AUGUCGGCCGCCGCCGGCAAGCCGUCCCGAUCUGCCUCCGCCAUCGUUGCCUCCACGGUGAGCGGGUACCACCUUCUCAAGGUCGAUGGCUACUCCCGCACCAAGGGCGUCCCCACCGGAGAGAGGAUAAAGUCCCGCCCUUUCACCCUUGGGGGACAUCGAUGGCACAUUGAGUACUAUCCCAACGGCCAGAAACCAGAGUACGCAGAAUACAUAUCUGUGUUCCUUAAUCUUGAUGCCAGUGUUGCCACGGCGGUGAAGGCGCAACAAAAAUUCAGUUUUGCGGAUGAGGAAACGAACCAAGCUCCUUCGCUGAUAUCAACAGUAAACAGCUACAGUUCUCAGCAGGGCUGGGGAGUCGCGACAUUCAUCAAGAGGGCAGACCUGGAGAAGUCAGAGCAUCUCAAGGACGAUUCCUUCACCAUCAGGUGCGAUAUCAUUGUCAUAGGCGACUACCGCGCAGAGGAUUUGCUCGAAGAGACUCCUCCAGCAUUUGUCACUGUGGCCCCAUCUGACCUGCACCAGCACCUCGGAGAUCUCCUCAACACUGAGAAGGGUGCCGACGUAGUCUUCGAGGUUGGUGGUCACACGUUCGCAGCACACCGCUGCCCGAUCGCCAGUCUUCAGUGCUGA